UACGAAGGGGGCUAGCGUUGUUCGGAAUUACUGGGCGUAAAGCGCGCGCAGGCGGUCUUCCAAGUCAGUGGUGAAAGCCCGGAGCUCAACUCCGGAACUGCCAUUGAAACUGUUAGACUUGAGGAUAGAGAGGUGAGUGGAAAUUCCCAGUGUAGAGGUGAAAAUUUCGUAGAUAUUGGGAAGAACACCGGUGGCGAAGGCGGCUCACUGGCUCAUUACUGACGCUGAGGUGCGAAAGCGUGGGGGAGCAAAACAG
rnacentral:rRNA from 1 species